rnacentral:sRNA from 1 species
GCUGGGUGUGGUAGUGCGCACCUGUAAUCCCAGCAACUCCGGAGGCUGAGGUAAGAGGAUUGCAAGUUGGAGGCCAGUCUUAACAACUUUGUUAGGCCUUUAGCAACUUAGGGAGACCCUAUCCCAA